rnacentral:lncRNA from 1 species
UUGAAACCUUUGUAACUAUUAAGGUUGAAGUGCCAUUUAAAGAAAAAGGAAGGCAAAGAAGUGAGCUAUAGGAAGCCCUGUUUCAGGAUCCCUAGCCCGCAAAGACACGUCCAAGGUCCAGGAAGAAGUAGCCCCAGGAGAGUUAGAGGAAUGCAGCUCUGCCAGCCUGGAGGUCACUUUGCUCACCCUAGUGGUAAUCCUGGAGCUGCAAAUCCUGUGGGGGUUGGGCACCAGGCCCCAGCGACAACUUGAACUUGGUGGACUUUAUGGGACCUGAGCCUCUUCCCCAAGGAAAAGAAUCUGAGACACAGCUCUACUCCCAGCCCAGGGCCAUGUGACUGGGCUUCAUGGUCCCUUUGGGACACUCCAUUCCUGACAACAGCCCUGGCAAGGGCGAGGGUGGGAAGAAUACUGGGUGUGAUAAAACCCAGUCGACCUUGACCAGCUUGCUGUGACUGAGAUCAAAGGGCUGAAGUUAUGUCUGAGGAUUCCCCUUGAUUACCAACAACAAAUCAUGAAGCUAAAUAAACUUUUCUCAACUAUGACUGAUUAAAAACAAUUAAACACAUUUUGCUACUUGGGGAGCUAAGGUAAGGAGGAUCACUUGAGGCCGGGAGCUGGGGGCUUCAGUGCGCCACAAUUACACCUGUGAAUAGCCACUGCAUUCCAGCCUGGGCAAUACAGUGAGACCGCAUCUCUAAAAACAAACAAACCAACAAACCACAGAUACUGGCCUACUGUGUUAGAAAACUAAUCUUUCCUUAGAAGACAGAUUUAUCGUUCUACUUUUUCUUUUUAAUAGAAGAUGAUACUUAAAAGUCAUUGUCAUUAAGAGGCGAUCAAAGAAUAUACAGCCAAAAUAUGUAGGGAA